UACGUAGGGGGCAAGCGUUGUCCGGAUUUAUUGGGCGUAAAGAGCGUGUAGGCGCCAGGUAGGUCUGCUGUGAAAACUCGAGGCUUAACCUCGAGCUGUCGGCGGAAACCAUCUGGCUAGAGUCCGGGAGAGGUGAGUGGAAUUCCCAGUGUAGCGGUGAAAUGCGUAGAUAUUGGGAGGAACACCAGUGGCGAAGGCGGCUCACUGGACCGGAACUGACGCUGAGGCGCGAAAGCGUGGGGAGCAAACGGG
rnacentral:rRNA from 1 species